rnacentral:pre_miRNA from 1 species
UAUAAGGGAUUUUGAGUUUAUGCUUUCAACGUUUGACCACUCGUCUUAUUUAAAAUAUUUUGAAAUUAUUAUUUAUUUAGUUUAUGACUUACUUUAUUAUCUACAGUACUUUAAUCACAACUUUUCGUUUUUUAUAUUUACAAAAAAAUUUAAAUAAGACGAGUGAUCAAACGUUGCAAGCAAAAACUCAAAAUCCCUUAUA